UGGGGAAUAUUGCACAAUGGGCGCAAGCCUGAUGCAGCCAUGCCGCGUGUAUGAAGAAGGCCUUCGGGUUGUAAAGUACUUUCAGUCGGGAGGAAGGUGGUAAGGUUAAUAACCUUGGCGAUUGACGUUACCCGCAGAAGAAGCACCGGCUAACUCCGUGCCAGCAGCCGCGGUAAUACGGAGGGUGCAAGCGUUAAUCGGAAUUACUGGGCGUAAAGCGCACGCAGGCGGUCUGUCAAGUCGGAUGUGAAAUCCCCGGGCUCAACCUGGGAACUGCAUUCGAAACUGGCAGGCUAGAGUCUUGUAGAGGGGGGUAGAAUUCCAGGUGUAGCGGUGAAAUGCGUAGAGAUCUGGAGGAAUACCGGUGGCGAAGGCGGCCCCCUGGACGAAGACUGACGCUCAGGUGCGAAAGCGUGGGGAGCAAACAGG
rnacentral:rRNA from 1 species